GCGGGGCAACCUGGCGGCGAGUGGCGAACGGGUUGAGUAAUAUAUCGGAACGUACCCUGGAGUGGGGGAUAACGUAGCGAAAGUUACGCUAAUACCGCAUACGAUCUAAGGAUGAAAGUGGGGGAUCGCAAGACCUCAUGCUCCUGGAGCGGCCGAUAUCUGAUUAGCUAGUUGGUGGGGUAAAGGCCUACCAAGGCAUCGAUCAGUAGCUGGUCUGAGAGGACGACCAGCCACACUGGAACUGAGACACGGUCCAGACUCCUACGGGAGGCAGCAGUGGGGAAUUUUGGACAAUGGGCGCAAGCCUGAUCCAGCAAUGCCGCGUGAGUGAAGAAGGCCUUCGGGUUGUAAAGCUCUUUUGUCAGGGAAGAAACGGUGAGGGCUAAUAUCCCUUGCUAAUGACGGUACCUGAAGAAUAAGCACCGGCUAACUACGUGCCAGCAGCCGCGGUAAUACGUAGGGUGCAAGCGUUAAUCGGAAUUACUGGGCGUAAAGCGUGCGCAGGCGGUUUUGUAAGUCUGUCGUGAAAUCCCCGGGCUCAACCUGGGAAUUGCGAUGGAGACUGCAAGGCUAGAAUCUGGCAGAGGGGGGUAGAAUUCCACGUGUAGCAGUGAAAUGCGUAGAGAUGUGGAGGAACACCGAUGGCGAAGGCAGCCCCCUGGGUCAAGAUUGACGCUCAUGCACGAAAGCGUGGGGAGCAAACAGGAUUAGAUACCCUGGUAGUCCACGCCCUAAACGAUGUCUACUAGUUGUCGGGUCUUAAUUGACUUGGUAACGCAGCUAACGCGUGAAGUAGACCGCCUGGGGAGUACGGUCGCAGAUUAAAACUCAAAGGAAUUGACGGGGACCCGCACAAGCGGUGGAUGAUGUGGAUUAUUCGAUGCAACGCGAAAAACCUU
rnacentral:rRNA from 1 species